CUUUUAAUUUGUAAGUUGACACCACAAAACUGAAGAGAAUACCACAAAUGAAAUCAUAAAGGAGCAUUUUUUUUAAGUUUAUGUAGAGCGCUUCUCCUUGCGAAGAAUUCUCAUAACUUGUACAAAAUGUGUAAGAUGAUUUUCUCUACUCUUGCUAUAAAUUGAGAUGUCAAAUAAAUAACAUAUUAUUUUGAUAAAAUAUUGUAGUACUUGGCGCAUGAAUAUAGUAGAAGCAUAGGAAAGAUCAAAAGACAUAACGAGUCAUGCAUAAAGUAACGUUGCAGGGUACAUUUAUGUCACUGAUAUAGACGUUGUGAGGAAGAAGAUCACAUACCUCGCACCUUGCCCUGGCGAACUCCCAAGUAAACUCUUAAUUGUUGGAACUUUAACAUGGUUGGAAGGUUAACGAUGUGGGCAGUGUUUGGCUAAUGGGAGGAGGAUUAGUCUUUUAGAGUUUGCUUUUCAUCAGUUAGAUUUUGGUAAAAAUAAAUAAAUUUGUCUUUCUACUAUCAAAGGUGUUUAAAGGGCAUACUUGAUAUUAUAAAUCGGGCAUGUUUUUACUUGGUUAAUUUUUGCUCAAUUUACUUGGUCAAGCCAAUCAACUUUUUUGACUCAA